UAGACGUGGUCAGGGCACCAAUCUGAGGUA
rnacentral:piRNA from 1 species